rnacentral:lncRNA from 1 species
UGCGCUUGCGGAUAGAAUAGAUUUUUUUCUAGAGAGCCUUUACAUUUAUAAAUACCUUUGUACACUCUGGCGCCAUGCUAGGGAUGACAACCUAGUAUCUAAGUGGUGUUAGCUAGUGUCAACUAUAAGGUCGGUUGGAUCUGAAUCCCCUAGAGGGCCGAGACAUUGAAGGUGUGGUUGAUCGGUGGGGAUGACAAUUUUAUUGGACAACUCCUAGUGAUUUUGGGGGAAUAAAAAUAC